rnacentral:other from 2 species
GUUGGACUGGCGUUGUGACUUAUAAAACUGAACCGAUACGUUUUAUAUGGAAGCCAAUUGGCUGGUGGUGUGCGUUCCCUUUUUUGGGAAACCUGAAACUGGCAAGCGGCAUCCCCCUAACAUACUUUAGGGUUCUGUUUUUGUAGGUUGCAACGCCAGUCCAACG